AAGACCUUGCACUUUUGGAGCGGCCGAUGUCUGAUUAGCUAGUUGGUGGGGUAAAGGCCUACCAAAGCUUCGAUCAGUAGCUGGUCUGAGAGGACGGCCAGCCACACUGGGACUGAGAUACGGCCCAGACUCCUACGGGAGGCAGCAGUGGGGAAUUUUGGACAAUGGGCGCAAGCCUGAUCCAGCCAUGCCGCGUGAGUGAAGAAGGCCUUCGGGCUGUAAAGCUCUUUCAGCCGGGAAGAAAAGGCUGCGACUAAUAAUCGCAGUUCAUGACGGUACCGGAAGAAGAAGCACCGGCUAACUACGUGCCAGCAGCCGCGGUAAUACGUAGGGUGCGAGCGUUAAUCGGAAUUACUGGGCGUAAAGGGUGCGCAGGCGGUUUUGUAAGUCAGAUGUGAAAUCCCCGGGCUUAACCUGGGAACU
rnacentral:rRNA from 1 species